AUGAUCCCUUUGACUGUGAUUGCCGAGGUUGCUUCGAGGCUUGAGAAUUUUUCAAGCCUCGAGGAUCUUGCUUCUGCAGCUCUUGCUUCACCUAAUGUGUCCACAGAGGAGGAAGCUGUGAACACCAUCAACAAUGUCUUAUCUGAGUUGGGUUUAUCAGAAACCCCUGCUGCUGAGGAGGAGGGGCCUCCGUCAGUCAAAGGUUGUGAUUCCGUUUCGGAUCCUUUGUGCUCUCUUCAGAUGUUAGAGACGCAGUCGCAGCCUGUUGAUGGCACUGAACCUGUCACACAACUUGAGGAUGUGCCUCUUAAGCUUCUUGUGGAGGACCGACAUAAGAGGAAGAGGCAAGAAGAUUUUAACAAGAAGAGGGCGGCCCACCUUGAGAAAGGUUCUGAUGUUCCUGGAUCUGUUCAUGCGGCUGAGCUCAUGGUUGGGGAAGACGUGCCAUGUGGCAGUGAUGGCACAUUUGUCCCUGUUAAGAAGAAAAUCACGAAGACCACUGUGAGGAAGCAUGUAGUUGGUGGAUUUAUUCCUCGGAGGAUCCCACGUGUUUCAAGGCCUGCAGAACUUGCUAAAUAUGAAGGACUAGGCCUCGGUGGUACGCCAUGCCGUAGUCCUCGUGUGCUUGCCACUGCCGCGUCUACACCUUCUCCGCUUGGUGCUGAUGCGCCUGGUAAUGGGAAGAAAUGCGGCGUCAAGCGCAAGGUUGCACCUGGAAAGGUCAACAAGGGUCAGAAGAAGUGUUCUCGUGUUAAUCCAGAGGACAAGGAUGAUGCUGAUUUCAAUGCUGAUGAAGAGGACGACCACGAUGAUGAUGUUGCGGCUAAUCAGUAUCAGCUUGUGGAGCGGCCUGAGAGGAGGAAGAGAGGAGGCAAAGCGCCCGAAGAAGGUGGCCAAGGAGGAGGUGAGGAGAAACGUUUUAACAAGACGGUUCGCUGCUCACUAGGAGAGGUCAAGGCGUGUGCAAAAAUGCUAAAGGCUAGGCACAAGACGAGCGUUAUCAAGGCUGGUUUUGGUUGUGUGUUUGACUUGAAGGUUGAUUCCAACAUUUCUCGUCCUUUGAUGUGCAACAUCUACACGAGGAUCGACCCUAAAACUAUGAUUCUGGACAUGGGUGAGGCGAACAAGGUUCUGCGUAUUACAAGUGAUGCUAUUCACCAUCUCUUUGGGUUCCCUCAAGGUAUCAGCAAGGUACUAGUAGAGGAAAAGCUGUCACAGGUCAAGCUUCUUGAGCUUGCUGCGGCUGACUUGGUCAAGAAGGGUGAUGAUGACCUAGCCAACUGGGUGUUUGGGAGACUGCCAUGGAAGACACAGGCUGAGGUUGUGUUCUUUAGGGUUAUUGAACAUCAAGGAGGUUCUUCUUCCCGUGUGAGUGUUGUAGGUGGCGUCUCUUCCGAGAAUUUGUUUGAACCUGCCAAUGUUUCGCUGGUUAGGAUUGACAGUCUUGUUGAAACUGUUUGUGGGGAGUUGGCUCGUGUUCCUUUAACUGUUGAGUGUCUUAGUCGCGCUGAUGGGAUUCUUCCUCCCGGACAUGGAUUUGAUGUUGAGUCUUCGAAGGAGGUCUUAUCUAUUGAAGCUGGAUUUCUUGAAGAGCUUCGUCAGAGCACUUCCCACCUUCGGACUAGCGUUGGGCUGUUCAAGGAAAUGCAGGAUGCUCAUUGCAUGCCUUUUGAAGAUGAGGCAAAUGUUGUUGUGAGAGAGCUUCAGAGGCAGGAUUCUGUUUGUUUGGGUCAUGAAGGAGGCCACGUGGAGCAUACCACAGAGGCUGUUGAUGAUGGUGCUAGGGUUGAGGAGGAUGUUUUACCUGCGCAUGAAGCUGCUCCUGUGCAUGAGGCUGCCCCUGUGCAUGAACCUGCUCCCGCCAGUGGUGUAUCAGUUGAUGAGGUUCAUGGCAGUGAAAAUAAGCAGAAUGAUGAUGUUAGUGUUCCUCCAAAGAAGGUUGCAGACAAGUCCGUCUCAGGCACCGGCUGCUCCGACGGGGUGGACCUGACUGAACCUCAGUCAUCCAUUGGCGAUGAGGUUUCUGAUGCUGAGCAGGGCAAGACAACUAGAGACAUCAUUUUGGAGAAAUAUCCUGUUGAGCCUGCUGUUGAAACUGGUGGUAGUGCUGCUGCAAGCCCGGAGAAGUCUCCUGUAGCAGAGCCAUCAAUUGUUGUUGAGGAUGUUCAAACACAACCAAAUGUUUUUGUUGUUUCAUAUUCUCUAGCUACCCCAGCUGCUGCUAUUGUCCUUCCCGACGACGCUGCAACGUCUGCUGGAGAUGACGACGAAGAGACUGAAAGCGAUAGCUAUGGAGAGGAGGUUGUUUUCCCCACUUUUGACCUGCCUGAGAUUCCUGCUUCCAUGAGUGGUGUUGGUCAUUGGGUUUCGAUAGUUCUUGACCUGAAGAAUUCAAGGUUCCAGCUUCUCGACUCCUAUUAUGGACCAUACGAUGAAUGUGCGGUACGCCUGUUUCGGCGGAUGACCGAUAACAUCAAGAAGCUUUGGAGCGAUGCCAGCAACGACAGGAGACACCCUGCAGUCCUCUUACCAUCGACCAUUUCCCUCUGGAUUGGACUGAUGUGCCUCAGCAGCAAAACAAAUAUCAGGAAGAUGUGGCAAUACUCAAUCGCUUCUUCUAACCUGUUUGAUACAGACUUCCAAGAUCUGUUUGGCUACUACACAUGAAGGUUGGUGCAGCCGAAGCAGAAAAGCUUUCGUCUGAUGAUGAUUUUGAGAGGUGGGAAGAAUGUUGUCAUCACCAGGAGGAAACCGGCAGUUGAGUCUGGCAACAUUACUUCCUCCAAGAGAGCAUCAAGAUUACUUCAUGUCGCUCCCCUAAAAAAUAACAGUUACCCUCAUCUAUCUGAGGCCCGGAAGUUGAAACAGUAUGUGCUUAGUGAAAAGGGUCUGGAGAAGUAUUCAGAGACAAGCUACUGCAUGUUUAGCAUCCUUGCGAAUGUGAUUGACCUCACAGGACAUGUCCUUUAUACACUUUUCGGUGAAGGGAAGCAGAUGGCAGGAGACAUAAUGGAUUAUCUCAUAAAUUUGUGGAAGGAUAAGCCGGAGACCUCUGAGAUAUUCACUAGUGCUGGCAGGGUUGUACUUAGUCCCUACUUCAUACAUUACUGCCUAGAGUGUGAUUUCUUCGUUGCAACAGUUCCGAAGUUUGAUGCAAAAAAAUCUGCUGGUCUCCUCCCAAUGUUUGUUCGCAAGGAAGAAGACCUUCUUAACGCAAAGCUGAUCAAGAUAUUUGUUGGGUUGCUCGAGGAGGUGUAUGGCAAGGCUGCGUACAAAGCGAUCAAGCAGCCUAACUGGGUGACUAUUGCAAAGAGGCCGACUUUUAUCGAUGUUCCAAAGCAGAAGAAUAAUGAUUGUGGUUUCUUCGCCGUGCAGUUCUGCUCUUCAUAUGAUGGCGAUGAGGUUGUUGAAGAUUUUGGUGAUGCUGCUGCAGAUGACUGGAAGGCUGAGUUCAUGCACACUCUGAUGUUUAGCGAGAAGAAUGAAGUCAUUCGUUCAGAGAUCCCUAAAGAGAUCCAGUCCUUUGGCCCGUGA
rnacentral:rRNA from 1 species